UAAGCCGGAAGGUGAAAAGGAGAGAUGCGCUUUUGGAGAGACUUGUGUCCUAUCAGGCAGUUGGUGAGGUAACGGCUCACCAAACCGAAGACGGGUAGCCGGACUGAGAGGUCGACCGGCCACAUUGGAACUGAGAGACGGUCCAGACUCCUACGGGAGGCAGCAGUGGGGAAUAUUGGGCAAUGGGCGCAAGCCUGACCCAGCGACGCCGCGUGAGGGAAGACAGCCUUCGGGUUGUAAACCUCUGUUGCAGGGGAAGAAGGAAGUGACGGUACCCUGCGAGGAAGCUCCGGCUAACUACGUGCCAGCAGCCGCGGUAAUACGUAGGGAGCGAGCGUUGUCCGGAAUUACUGGGCGUAAAGGGCGCGUAGGCGGCGCUUCAAGUCGUCUGUCAAAAGCCGAGGCUCAACCUCGGCGCGCAGACGAAACUGGAGAGCUUGAGAAGCAGAGAGGCAAACAGAAUUCCUGGUGUAGCGGUGAAAUGCGUAGAUAUCAGGAAGAAUACCAGUGGCGAAGGCGGUUUGCUGGCUGCAUACUGACGCUGAAGCGCGAAAGCCAGGGGAGCAAACGGGAUUAGAUACCCCGGUAGUCCUGGCAGUAAACGAUGUAUGCUGGGACUGGGUGUAGCGAUA
rnacentral:rRNA from 1 species